rnacentral:rRNA from 1 species
CAGCCGCCACGGGAAUACGAAGGGGGCUAGCGUUGUUCGGAAUUACUGGGCGUAAAGCGCACGUAGGCGGACAUUUAAGUCAGGGGUGAAAUCCCGGGGCUCAACCCCGGAACUGCCUUUGAUACUGGGUGUCUUGAGUGUGGAAGAGGUCAGUGGAAGUGCGAGUGUAGAGGUGAAAUUCGUAGAUAUUCGCAGGAACACCAGUGGCGAAGGCGGCUGACUGGUCCACAACUGACGCUGAGGUGCGAAAGCGUGGGGAGCAAACAGGAUUAGAUACCCGGGUAGUCCCUGUCUCUUAUAC